ensembl:lncRNA
CACCACGGUGUGGGGGGUGGAUUCUGUGGGGGGUGGAUUCUGCCACGGAGAUGUAGAUAAGCGACCUACCGUCAACUUGCUCCCAUUUAACGUCGCCGUGAGCGAAUCUUUUUGUCUUAACGUCGCCGUGAGCGAAUCUCUUUGUCUUAACGUCGCCUCUAAGCAGAGAUGCCCAGACUUCCCUCUCCCUAGACACUUCCUCCAGCUCUUCCGGGGGGACACCGAGGCGUUCCCAGGCCAGCCGGGAGUCAUAGUCCCUCCAGCGUGUCCUAGGUCUUCCCCGGGGUCUCCUCCCGGUGGGAUGGGCCCGGAACACCUUCCCGGGAAGGCGUCCAGGAAGCAUCCGGAACAGUUGCCCAAGCCACCUCAGCUGACCCCUCUCGAUGUGGAGGAGCAGCGGCUCUACUCUGAGCUCCUCCCGGGUGACCGAGCUUCUCACCCUAUCUCUAAGGGAUCGCCCAGCCACCCUUCGGAGGGUCUGCCGAGUCUGUCCAGCUUCCUCCCCCGCCAUCGGAUCCAACUCACCACCAGGUGGUGAUCUGUUGACAGCUCCACCCCUCUCUUCACCUGAGUGUCCAAGACAUACGGCCGCAGGUCAGAUGAAACGACAACAAAGUCGAUCAUUGACCUACGGCCUAGGGUGUCCUGGUGCCACGUGCACUGAUGGACACACUUAUGCUUGAACAUGGUGUUCGCUAUGGACAAACUGUGACUAGCACAGAAGUCCUCCCAAUCACGGCCCUCCAGGUGUCACUGUCGUUGCCCAAGUGGGCGUUGAAGUCCCCCAGUAGAACGAUGGAGUCCCCAGUCGGAGCACUUUCCAGCACCCCUCCCAGAGACUCCAAGAAGGUCGGGUACUCUGCACUGCCGUUCGGCCCGUAGGCACAAACAACAGUGAGAGACCUAUCCCCGACCUGUAGGCGCAGGGAAACAACCCUCUCGUUCACCGGGGUAAACGCCAACACAUGGCGGCAGAGCUGGGGGGCUAUAAGCAAACCCACACCAGCCCGCCGCCUCUCCCCAUGGGCAACUCCAGAGUGGUGAAGUCCAUCCUCUCUCAAGGAGUGUUGUUCCAGAGCCCAAGCCGUGUGUAGAGGUGAUCCCGACUAUCUCUAGUCGUAACCUCUCAACCUCACGCACAAUCUCAGGCUCCUUCCCGGCCAGCGAGGUGACGUUCCACGUCCCUAGAGCUAGUUUCCGUGUCCAGGGAUCGGGUUGUCUAGGCCCCCGCCUUCGACUGCCGCCCAGGCCUCUCCGCACCGACCCCUUAUGGUCCCUCCUGUAGGUGGUGAGCCCACGGGAAGGCGGCCCCACGUCGCUCCUUCGGGCUGAGCCCGGCCGGACCCCGUGGGGAAAGGACCGGCCACCACGACGUCACAGUCCUCAAAAUGUUUUUCAUAAUUAAAGGGUUUUUGAACCUUGAUUAACCUCCAUUUCUGUUUAUUAAAGAUAUAUUUUUACUCAUGGUUAAUCAGAAUAUAUGCUGCUAAAGGUGCAUUUGUAUAUAGGUAUGUACGCACCCAGAAGAUUUGUUUUAUGCUCAGAUGUGUACAGAUAUGAACAGAUCAUACAUUAACAUGAAUUUCAUUAGAGCAUACCGUUUUUAUUCUUAUCUGCACUGUUGCAGAGUAAGGAAACUAAGCAUUUCAUGACAAAUACAAACACUUCGAA